GUUGACCUCGGAUCAGGUAGGGAUACCCGCUGAACUUAAGCAUAUCAAUAAGCGGAGGAAAAGAAACCAACAGGGAUUGCCCUAG
rnacentral:rRNA from 1 species